ACUAGGUCAGAUCAUCAUAGAGGAAAACAUCCCAAUAAGAAAAGGGGGUAAUCGAACGUAGAAAAAGAGAGUUUCUCCACAUUACGAACAAUCAUAAAAAUGGAUUAAUCUAGCAAGACACAGGAAAUGCUUUGUUUUCACACAAGAAGUUACAUGGCAAAUCCAUCAGAAACACAAAAUGGAUCACUUGGAUUUCUCAGCUACUGUGUAACAAACUGGAUAAUAUAAUAAGGGAAUUGAUUUUUGGACAGUGAAGAUAGAAACUGCAUUUUUGUGGUUUCUCCCUCCUCACCGUUUAUCUUUGGGAGACACCUCUUCAUUCUAAAAUGUGGGGGGGGGUUGUUGUUGUUUUUUUUUAAACCAAAGUGCAGUUUGGAUUCUGUCCCAAUGGUUUUGCCAGGGAGGCAGUCAUUCUUGAAUUGCAUCUGACACUUAGCACUUCCUGUGUUAGGCAAAAACCUCAGGAGGAGGCCAGAAGGUUGACUUUACACUUGUAAAGACGUGGGAAGGUGUGAUCACACCCUCAAGGAGAACAUCUGCUGUAACAGGGCCUGAGUAUGGGGACUGGAUACUUGAAUUCAUUUUCUGCUUUCUAUUCAUCUCUCUACAGAAACAUGAAAGACAGUGUUUGAAAGAUACCUUGCAGCUAGGCGGACCCGACAUUUUGGUAACGGUUUCUGGCGACCCCAGAUGGGACACUCCUAGCUCGGACAUCGGACUCCGGACGGCUGCGGCGAACUAGGAGCGGCGCCACCGGGGUGCUUAGCCCCUCUUCCUCACUUCACCGCGGCCCCUGGGGUUCGUGCUCCGAUAAGGUAGCACCACUCCUGACUGCAGAGUGAUGCUAGAAUUAUCUGCAGCAGCCAGAGAGAAGGUAGAACAGCAUUUCAGCUUCAGCAUUCAAAGGAACAGAAGGAAAGACAGCCCGCAAGCAACAAAAAGUAAUGAAAGAGGGAUUAAAAUUUUCCUCUGCAGCAAUGCUAAUUCUUCAAGGAGCACAGAGUGUUUGGUUUUCUCAGGGAAUCCCCAGACAAUUAAACAUGCAGUCAAUUUAUUACUACAGAAAAAAUGUUAGCCCCCUAUUCAUCCUCUUCACGGGCAUGUAUUUGAAUUUGUUUAACAUAUGAAUUCAGUACUCAUGAAAGAUGCUGGUAUGACACCCUGCAGACCAAAGUCCUCUAUUUACCAACAGAACAGAUAUACAGGCUACAGGAUCAAAACAGAAGCUACCCUGUUUUCCUUACCCGUGUUCAAGUUCUUUAUGAUGCUUUUUCUUCUCUCAGAAGCUUUAAUGUUAGCACCCAACACUCAACAUCAGGCUUACAAUAACUAAAUGGUUCACACAUUCAGUGGUGGAAUAAUAAUAAACAAGAAUUGUUUAGGUUCCAUGCUACUGCGAGGCUAACGACAAACUAUUUUCGUUAGUUAAUAUUGUGCAAAAAGAGCAAUCAUUCACUGCAUUUUUUAAAUGCAUCUCUGGUUUGCUGCAUAACUGGUCUUCCCUACCCUGGAUGGAAGUGGAGAUAGGCACAAACGUAACCCAGAAAAAGAUAUACCUAGAUGACAAGAAGUAAAUCAUGGGAAGUAAAUCAUAGUGUCUCUCUGAUCCCCUCUCCCUCCAUAACCCCAUUAAAGUUUUACAGUCCUGAUCAAGUAGACCUGAGACUCGUGUUCAUUGGCUCUGCUGUGUGUUACGGUGUGGGACAGGACUGAGUCUGACAGCUGGGAGGAGGGAAGGAUCAAGUGAACU